rnacentral:misc_RNA from 1 species
CCGAGUUUACAACUCCCAAACCCCUGUGAACAUACCUUCUGUUGCUUCGGCGGGAUCGCCCCGGCUGCCCUGCGCGCCGGAACCAGGCCCCCGCCGCAAGACCUGAAACUCUGUUUUUACUUCAGUAUCUUCUGAGUGGCUUAAAAAGCAAAAAUAAAUUA